rnacentral:rRNA from 1 species
GGGUUGUGAGGUUAAGCGACUAAGCGUACACGGUGGAUGCCCUGGCAGUCAGAGGCGAUGAAGGGCGUGCUAAUCUGCGAUAAGCGCCGGUAAGGUGAUAUGAACCGUUAUAACCGGCGAUACCCGAAUGGGGAAACCCAGUGUGAUUCGUCACACUAUCAUUAACUGAAUCCAUAGGUUAAUGAGGCGAACCGGGGGAACUGAAACAUCUAAGUACCCCGAGGAAAAGAAAUCAACCGAGAUUCCCCCAGUAGCGGCGAGCGAACGGGGAGGAGCCCAGAGCCUGAAUCAGCAUGUGUGUUAGUGGAAGCGUCUGGAAAGGCGCGCGAUACAGGGUGACAGCCCCGUACACAAAAGCGCAUGUGCUGUGAGCUCGAUGAGUAGGGCGGGACACGUGGUAUCCUGUCUGAAUAUGGGGGGACCAUCCUCCAAGGCUAAAUACUCCUGACUGACCGAUAGUGAACCAGUACCGUGAGGGAAAGGCGAAAAGAACCCCGGCGAGGGGAGUGAAAAAGAACCUGAAACCGUGUACGUACAAGCAGUGGGAGCNNGUGACUGCGUACCUUUUGUAUAAUGGGUCAGCGACUUAUAUUCUGUAGCAAGGUUAACCGUAUAGGGGAGCCGGAGGGAAACCGAGUCUUAAUUGGGCGUUAAGUUGCAGGGUAUAGACCCGAAACCCGGUGAUCUAGCCAUGGGCAGGUUGAAGGUUGGGUAACACUAACUGGAGGACCGAACCGACUAAUGUUGAAAAAUUAGCGGAUGACCUGUGGCUGGGGGUGAAAGGCCAAUCAAACCGGGAGAUAGCUGGUUCUCCCCGAAAGCUAUUUAGGUAGCGCCUCGUGAAUUCAUCUCCGGGGGUAGAGCACUGUUUCGGCUAGGGGGCCAUCCCGGCUUACCAACCCGAUGCAAACUGCGAAUACCGGAGAAUGUUAUCACGGGAGACACACGGCGGGUGCUAACGUCCGUCGUGAAGAGGGAAACAACCCAGACCGCCAGCUAAGGUCCCAAAGUCAUGGUUAAGUGGGAAACGAUGUGGGAAGGCCCAGACAGCCAGGAUGUUGGCUUAGAAGCAGCCAUCAUUUAAAGAAAGCGUAAUAGCUCACUGGUCGAGUCGGCCUGCGCGGAAGAUGUAACGGGGCUAAACCAUGCACCGAAGCUGCGGCAGCGAACGUAUCACCCAAGACAACUUUACGGAGUUGACGAUUGACGGAGCGAAGCGACGUCAAAGCGUUCAUUAAAGUCGAGUUGGCUUAGGGAUACGUUCGUUGGGUAGGGGAGCGUUCUGUAAGCCUGUGAAGGUGUGUCGUGAGGCAUGCUGGAGGUAUCAGAAGUGCGAAUGCUGACAUAAGUAACGAUAAAGCGGGUGAAAAGCCCGCUCGCCGGAAGACCAAGGGUUCCUGUCCAACGUUAAUCGGGGCAGGGUGAGUCGACCCCUAAGGCGAGGCCGAAAGGCGUAGUCGAUGGGAAACGGGUUAAUAUUCCCGUACUUGGUGUUACUGCGAAGGGGGGACGGAGAAGGCUAUGUUGGCCGGGCGACGGUUGUCCCGGUUUAAGCGUGUAGGUGUGUGUUCCAGGUAAAUCCGGUUCACUUUAACACUGAGGCGUGACGACGAGGCACUACGGUGCUGAAGCAACAAAUGCCCUGCUUCCAGGAAAAGCCUCUAAGCAUCAGGUAACA